CAGGAAUGUUUCUUUUCUUAAACUGACCGGAUUUUAACAUUGAUGCAGUGUUCAAUGCCCUGCACUUAAUGCCAGACAGAGUGGGGGAUCAAGUGUACCCAGUAACCGUGCAAUUAAACAGAAGCUAAGAGAUGAACACCAGCUGGCCACACCAGACCUGACCACAAUUGAUGGAAACACACCCAUAGCAAAUGUGAAGGCAGAAGACACCAAGAGUGUGACAGAAACCCUUGAUGAAAGCUGAGAACCAGAGCACCCAGUACCUCUGCAGCCACCUCUUUCAAAGCCUUAAGAAACAGACCCACACUAAGCAACAGAAGGUUUGUGAAGAGAAGCACAUCCAUUGCCAGAAGAUUGAUGGACCUGCUCGCAUGGAGAGAAGCAGAUGU